UCCCUGAUGGUUCAGUGGUAAAGAAUCUGCCUGCCAAUGCAGAGGACAUGGGUUCGAUCCCUGAUCCGGGAA
rfam:TPA: Bos taurus chromosome 11, whole genome shotgun sequence.